rnacentral:rRNA from 1 species
UACGUAGGUGGCAAGCGUUGUCCGGAUUUACUGGGCGUAAAGAGCGCGCAGGCGGUCGUUCAAGUCGCGUGUGAAAGCCCCCGGCUCAACUGGGGAGGGUCACGCGAUACUGAUCGACUCGAAGGCAGGAGAGGGAAGCGGAAUUCCCGGUGUAGUGGUGAAAUGCGUAGAUAUCGGGAGGAACACCAGUGGCGAAGGCGGCUUUCUGGCCUGUUCUUGACGCUGAGGCGCGAAAGCUAGGGUAGCAAACGGG